AUGCACAUGAUGGAAAACUUUUAUUUUUGUCUGAGUUUUGUGAUGUUUUCAAAGGAACCACUGAUGCAU